UCUCCCCCUGCGCCGCCCCGGGCUGCGCCCCGCGCCCGGAGGAUGCCCUGGAGGGGGCGUCUUUCCUCAAGCAACGCUGCGCUCACCCCGAACCCUAGCCGCUCCUCCUAGGCACCGCGCAUUGUUUUCCCCCUCGGGGCGAAGUAACUUUUGCCUUCCCGCCUCCCCCCAGUCCUGGGGACCAGAGGCGGCGCCGAGCCUGGGGGCGGUUCCUUGGCAGCGCUGAUUCGAGUCUGAGCCAGACUUUGGGUCCUGGGCUUGGUUUGCAUCAUCCCCAUCACACCCCUGGAGAGCAGCGCCCGCCCUGCUCCGCAGCCUCGGCUUCCGGCGCCCCCCGCCCCUGCCGCCCCUUCCCCUGCGCCCGCGCCUCGCCCCGGCGUUUUACCAUCCUCUCCCCCGCUCCGCAGCGCUUUCCUCCUGCUCCCUCCUGUCGUCCAUUUGUCGUUUGAUGUUCCCCACUCUUUUGAGGAAGGAUGGUUGAUCUGGAGAGCGAAGUGCCCCCUCUGCCUCCCAGGUACAGGUUUCGAGAUCUGCUGCUAGGGGACCAAGGAUGGCAAAACGACGACAGAGUACAAGUUGAAUUCUAUAUGAACGAAAACACAUUUAAAGAGAGAUUAAAGUUAUUUUUCAUUAAAAACCAGAGAUCAAGUAAGUCAUUCAUGUCAUACCCUUUCUAUUUGUUUGUAUAUAACUUUACUUCAAAAUUCCAAUUGUGUA
rnacentral:lncRNA from 1 species